UGGGAGGCAAAUUUCGUUGGAGACAGGGCCGGUCUGAGAAGAAGACUUAGUGUGUUCUAUUUUAUUUUGUUGAACAAAUGUUUUAAUUUGCACCUAAACCAGAGCGUUAUAUUAUAUUUUCCUAUUAAGAAGUUAACUUAGUUAACAGUUGAAGCAAUGGAAUACUACAGAUAUCACACAAAAAUUGUUGAUGGUGAAAUGCAUGAAGACAAAUAUUGGAUACCAACAAAAUGGUGCAAACAAUAUUGUAAUUCUCGUCAAUUAGAUUUAAAUCAACAUACCACUACCACCGUAUCAGAAUCAUCUCAAGAUCCUAAUUAGUUGUACUGUAUGUUAUUAAAUUAAUUACCUGUAUAUUAUAACAUUAUAUUUUAACAUAACUAAUAAAAAAAAAACCAUCGAACUCAUUUAUGUUGAAUAGUGAUUAUCUAGCAUACUACAUAAUA